GCCGUGAUCGUAUAGUGGUUAGUACUCUGCGUUGUUGGCCGCAGCAACCCUGGUUCGAAUCCGGGUCACGGCA